CCAGACACUCGGGGCUAGCGAGAACAAGUGAAUGAAUAGAACAACUUGUCAGGUGGUGCAUUGGAGACUGAUGUGUUCCUGUCCUGUCUUUUCAUAAUACUAUUGCAGAUCGACAUAAAAGCCUAAAAGACAGCCGUGGUGUCGCUCUUCAUUUCUUGGUUCUCCUGUGGUGCAUAAGAAACCCGCUACAGAUUGGUGCCGUGACCCGGAUCAACAGAUCAGCUGCAGCAGAUCGCCGGGGGACCCCUAAACAGAACUGGAUCGACAUCACACGUUUAAAACAUUUGAGGGCAAGAACAACUUGUCAGGUGGUGCAUUGGAGACUGAUGUGUUCCUGUCCUGUCUUUUCAUAAUACUAUUGCAGAUCGACAUAAAAGCCUAAAAGACAGCCGUGGUGUCGCUCUUCAUUUCUUGGUUCUCCUGUGGUGCAUAAGAAACCCGCUACAGAUUGGUGCCGUGACCCGGAUCAACAGAUCAGCUGCAGCAGAUCGCCGGGGGACCCCUAAACAGAACUGGAUCGACAUCACACGUUUAAAACAUUUGAGGGCAAGAACAACUUGUCAGGUGGUGCAUUGGAGACUGAUGUGUUCCUGUCCUGUCUUUUCAUAAUACUAUUGCAGAUCGACAUAAAAGCCUAAAAGACAGCCGUGG
rnacentral:lncRNA from 1 species